AAUUAAUAAAUCAUUAGAUGGUGAGCUGUAAACUCAUAUUAGAUGCACUUUUAACCU
rnacentral:tRNA from 1 species